GACGAACGCUGGCGGCGUGCCUAACACAUGCAAGUCGAACGAGGUCCAUGAGAGCUUGCUCUCAGAAGACCUAGUGGCGAACGGGCGAGUAACACGUGAGAAACCUGCCUCGGAGUGGGGAAUAACUCGGGGAAACUCGAGCUAAUACCGCAUAUCUUCACAUGAUCGCAUGGUCGAGUGAAGAAAGAAUUUCGCUCUGAGAGGGUCUCGCGGCCUAUCAGCUUGUUGGUGGGGUAACGGCCCACCAAGGCAACGACGGGUAGCUGGUUUGAGAGAACGAUCAGCCACACUGGGACUGAGACACGGCCCAGACUCCUACGGGAGGCAGCAGUGGGGAAUCUUGCGCAAUGGGCGAAAGCCUGACGCAGCAACGCCGCGUGCGGGAUGACGGCCUUCGUGGUUGUAAACCGCUUUCAGCAGGACGAAAAGUGACGGUACCUGCAGAAGAAGACCCCGGCGUAACUACGUAGCCAGCAGCCGCGGUAAU
rnacentral:rRNA from 1 species